rnacentral:lncRNA from 1 species
AGCCUUUUUUAGCUCACCUGACCUGAAAGGUCAAGUGAGCUUUUCUCAUCACUUGGCGUCCGUCGUCCGUCGUCCGUCGUCCGUAAACUUUUACAAAAAUCUUCUCCUCUGAAACUACUGGGCCAAAUUCUACCAAACUUGGCCACAAUCAUCCUUGGGAUAUCUAGUUUAAAAAAUGUGUGGCGUGACCCGUCAAACCAACCAAGAUGGCCGCCAUGGCUAAAAAUAGAACAUAGGGGUAAAAUGCAUUUUUUGG